AGGGAUAUAGCUCAGUUGGUAGAGUGCUUGCCUGGAAUGUCUGAAGCCCUGGGUUCAAUCCCCAGCAUCACAU
rnacentral:tRNA from 1 species